rnacentral:tRNA from 1 species
CUCUCCGUAGCUCAGCUGGUAGAGCAGCUGACUCUUAAUCAGCGGGUCGCAGGUUCGAAUCCUGUCGGGGAGAC